rnacentral:rRNA from 1 species
AUUGAACGCUGGCGGCAUGCUUUACACAUGCAAGUCGAACGGCAGCGCGGGCUUCGGCCUGGCGGCGAGUGGCGAACGGGUGAGUAAUGCAUCGGAACGUGCCCAGUAGUGGGGGAUAGCCCGGCGAAAGCCGGAUUAAUACCGCAUACGACCUGAUGGUGAAAGCGGGGGACCGAAAGGCCUCGCGCUAUUGGAGCGGCCGAUGUCGGAUUAGCUAGUUGGUGGGGUAAAGGCUUACCAAGGCGACGAUCCGUAGCUGGUCUGAGAGGACGACCAGCCACACUGGGACUGAGACACGGCCCAGACUCCUACGGGAGGCAGCAGUGGGGAAUUUUGGACAAUGGGGGCAACCCUGAUCCAGCCAUGCCGCGUGAGGGAAGAAGGCCUUCGGGUUGUAAACCGCUUUUGUUCGGGAAGAAAUACUCUGGGCUAAUACCCCGGGGGGAUGACGGUACCGGAAGAAUAAGCACCGGCUAACUACGUG